rnacentral:rRNA from 1 species
GACGAACGCUGGCGGCGUGCCUAUUACAUGCAAGUAGAACGCAGUUGCGAACGGGUGAGUAACGCGUAGGUAACUGCCUGGUAGCGGGGGAUAACUAUUGGAAACGAUAGCUAAUACCGCAUACUACCAGAUGGACCUGCGUUGUAUUAGCUAGUUGGUGGGGUAACGGCUCACCAAGGCAACGAUACAUAGCCGACCUGAUAGGGUGAUCGGCCAGACUGGGAGUGAGCAACUGCCCAGAUUCCUACGAGAGUCAGCAGUAGGGAAUCUGCGGCAAUGGGGGGAACCCUGACCGAGCGACGCCGCGUGAGUGAAGAGGGUUUUCGGAUCGUAGAGCUCUGUUGUUAAGGAGGCGGUACUUACCCAGAAAGGGACGGCUAACUACGUGCCAGCAGCCGCGGUAAUUC